AGUGAACGCUGGCGGUAGGCCUAACACAUGCAAGUCGAACGGCAGCACAGUAAGAGCUUGCUCUUACGGGUGGCGAGUGGCGGACGGGUGAGGAAUACAUCGGAAUCUACUUUUUCGUGGGGGAUAACGUAGGGAAACUUACGCUAAUACCGCAUACGACCUACGGGUGAAAGCAGGGGAUCUUCGGACCUUGCGCGAUUGAAUGAGCCGAUGUCGGAUUAGCUAGUUGGCGGGGUAAAGGCCCACCAAGGCGUCGAUCCGUAGCUGGUCUGAGAGGAUGAUCAGCCACCCUGGAACUGAGACACGGUCCAGACUCCUACGGGAGGCAGCAGUGGGGAAUAUUGGACAAUGGGCGCAAGCCUGAUCCAGCCAUACCGCGUGGUGGAAGAAGGCCUUCGGGUGGUAAAGCCCUUUUGAUGGGAAAGAAAAGCAGCAGGUUAAUACCCCGCUGUUCUGACGGUACCCAAAGAAUAAGCACCGGCUAACUUCGUG
rnacentral:rRNA from 1 species